UCCUGGCUCAGGACGAACGCUGGCGGCGUGCUUAACACAUGCAAGUCGAACGGGGUCCAUGCAGUAGCAAUACUGCGGAAGGCCUAGUGGCGAACGGGUGAGUAACACGUGAGGAACCUGCCCUGGUCUCUGGGAUAACAGUUGGAAACAGCUGCUAAUACCGGAUGACGUCGGACCGUCGCAUGGCGGACUGACGAAAGGGUUACCGGAUCAGGAGGGCCUCGCGUCCUAUCAGCUUGUUGGUGGGGUAACGGCCUACCAAGGCAUCGACGGGUAGCUGGUCUGAGAGGAUGAUCAGCCACACUGGGACUGAGACACGGCCCAGACUCCUACGGGAGGCAGCAGUGGGGAAUCUUGCGCAAUGGGCGAAAGCCUGACGCAGCAACGCCGCGUGCGGGAAGA
rnacentral:rRNA from 1 species